AGACGAACCGGACGAACGUUAUUCGGAAUUACUGGGCUUAAAGAGUGCGUAGGCGGCUUGGCAGGUUGGGUGUGAAAUCCCUCGGCUCAACCGAGGAACUGCGCUCAAAACCGCCAGGCUUGAGGGAGGCAGGGGUGAGCGGAACUGAUGGUGGAGCGGUGAAAUGCGUUGAUAUCAUCAGGAACACCGGUGGCGAAGGCGGCUCACUGGGUCUCUUCUGACGCUGAGGCACGAAAGCUAGGGUAGCGAACGGGAUUAGAUACCCCAGUAGUCC
rnacentral:rRNA from 1 species